CAGUAGCCGCGGUAAUACGAAGGGUGCAAGCGUUACUCGGAAUUACUGGGCGUAAAGCGUGCGUAGGUGGUCGUUUAAGUCCGUUGUGAAAGCCCUGGGCUCAACCUGGGAAUUGCAGUGGAUACUGGGUCACUAGAGUGUGGUAGAGGAUAGUGGAAUUUCCGGUGUAGCAGUGAAAUGCGUAGAGAUCGGAAGGAACAUCUGUGGCGAAGGCGACUAUCUGGGCCAACACUGACACUGAGGCACGAAAGCGUGGGGAGCAAACAGGAUUAGAUACCCCCGUAGUCCCUGUCUCUUAUAA
rnacentral:rRNA from 1 species